rnacentral:lncRNA from 1 species
GUGUACCUCCCUGUAUCCUUUAGUAGAUACCUAAAUCUUCUAGCAUCCCUCAGUAGAUGUUAUCCCAAUAGCAUUCAUCAAUAAAUGCUAAUCUUUCUAAUCUUCAUUGGCAUCCAUCAGUAAAUACCAUAUCACCUAACAUCCAUCCGUAGAUGUUGUAGAAGCAUCCAUCAGUAGAUGCUAUCAUCACUGCCAUCAGAAGCACCAACUAACCCAAAAAUAAAAUAAAAUAAAAUAAAAUCAAAUAAAAUAAGAUAAAAUAAAAUAAAAUCAAAUCAAAUAAACUCAAAUAAAAUAAAAUAAAACCAAAUCAAAUAAAAUCAAAUAAAAUAAAAUCAAAUGAAAUAAAAUAAAAUAAAAUAAAAUAUAAUUAAAUCAAAUCAAAUAAAAUAGAAUAAAAUAAAAUCAAAUCAAAUCAAAUCACAUUAAAUAAAAUAAAAUAAAAUAAAAUAAAAUAAAAUAAAAUCUAACACCCAUCAGUAGGUCUUGAUACUCCCCUUUCUUGAGAUUCUUUUCUUUUUCUUCUUCCUGCUGAAUUUCUUCAUAAAAUUAAGAACACCAAGCACAUGUUUCCAUGUUUCAAUCAUAGGAACUUUAAUCUCCAAUUUCUUGAAGAUCUCCAUAAAGCUCAAAAAUUUAUUUUCCUUCCUAUGAUAUUUCUUUUCAUGAGGCAGGGGUUUUUCACAAGAUCUUUUCUUUUUACCUUUCUUCCUUUGUUUUUUAAUUUUCUCCUUCCUUAACCUUCUCUAUUUCUUUUUCUUUUCUUUCUUUAUUUUCACGUUUUUUUUUUCUUUUCUUUCAACCACUGUUUUUCCUUUCUCCUCAUCAUUCUCACUCUCAUUCAACUUUUCUCUUUCUAACUCCUCUAUCUUUUCUACCGCAACAACUUCUUCUGUUUUUAUUUCAUCUUCAUACAUCUAUAGCUCCUCUUCUUCUCCCUUUUCCUCCUUAACAACCUUAUCAUUUGUAAAGAUAACGGCUUGACAUUCUUCUUUAGGGGUAACUUCAGUAUUAACCCUAAUAAUGCCCAGAGACUUCAAAACAUGAGAGUGUUGUUCAUGCAAUAAACAUUCUUGAGUUCCCCCCAAUGUUUCUUUGCGUACAAGAGAUUGUUUUUGUUGUAAACGUUGUUGGGCUUCCCCCAACGUUUCUUUUGGUGUAGAGAAUACGUAUCGUCACAAGAAUUGUUGGACUUCCCCCAACGUUUCUUUUGGGACAGAGAAUAGUUCCUUCCGUAAACGCUCUUUAGCUUCCCCUAACGUUUCUUUUCGCGAAGAGGACUGAUGCCCUAAGCGGUUUCGAUAUAUAUUUGAAUAAGGGUCCCCCAGUGGUUGAAAUCAUUUUGAUGAAAUUGAGUGACCAUAUAAUCAAAUUCUUGAUCAGACUGCCUUCUGCAAAACUUAAGCACAAAACCCUAGAUAACAUUUAUUAGAACAAAAAUAAACAUACAAUCAAAUCAAGUCAAACUCAAUCAAUUCACACUACUAGAAAAAUAAACCUCGAGUCCUCG